rnacentral:rRNA from 1 species
UGGGGAAUAUUGGACAAUGGGCGAAAGCCUGAUCCAGCCAGGCCGCGUGUGUGAAGAAGGUCUUCGGAUUGUAAAGCACUUUAAGUUGGGAGGAAGGGCAUUAACCUAAUACGUUAGUGUUUUGACGUUACCGACAGAAUAAGCACCGGCUAACUCUGUGCCAGCAGCCGCGGUAAUACAGAGGGUGCAAGCGUUAAUCGGAAUUACUGGGCGUAAAGCGCGCGUAGGUGGUGUGUUAAGUUGGAUGUGAAAUCCCCGGGCUCAACCUGGGAACUGCAUUCAAAACUGACUGACUAGAGUAUGGUAGAGGGUGGUGGAAUUUCCUGUGUAGCGGUGAAAUGCGUAGAUAUAGGAAGGAACACCAGUGGCGAAGGCGACCACCUGGACUAAUACUGACACUGAGGUGCGAAAGCGUGGGGAGCAAACA